UCCAAGUACAGGCGAGCAGCGCGGGGAAGAGUUAGGGGGCGAUGGUGAAUCGGAAUUACUGGGCGGAAAGCGGGCGCAGGCGGUUAUGUAAGACAGGGGUGAAAUCCCCGGGCUCAACCUGGGAACUGCCUUUGUGACUGCAUGGCUAGAGUGCGGCAGAGGGGGAUGGAAUUCCGCGUGUAGCAGUGAAAUGCGUAGAUAUGCGGAGGAACACCGAUGGCGAAGGCAAUCCCCUGGGCCUGCACUGACGCUCAUGCACGAAAGCGUGGGGAGCAAACAGGAUUAGAUACCCGAGUAGUC
rnacentral:rRNA from 1 species